UCUGAAUGGGUUAUAGGAAAGCAUACUAUAUACGAGUCUGGGGGGGGGUUUCAGGUUUCUUUGGCAUGCUACUGGAGGGGGGCAAACAAAAUCACAGAAACAAACAACGUGGCAAGCUAAACUGAAUAGAUACGGAUUUGAAUUCGUGCCUCCGGAUAGAUUAUCAUUGACUUUGACACGCGGCAUGCAGAUAAUUUGGUUCAAUGAUCACACACAAAUACACUCGAAUAUGGUAAUUUUUUGGCGCUUGACCGCUCCAGUUGGCUUACGUGCUCCGGCUACUGCUACUCGGUAGGACUGAGACUGAGACUGAGCGUGUUCUAAAAUUCAUUUAAAAUCAAUACGAAAAUAAACUGAUACUUGUCCGUAA